rnacentral:rRNA from 1 species
GCUGUGGAACUCCUACGGGAGGCAGCAGUGGGGAAUAUUGCACAAUGGGCGCAAGCCUGAUGCAGCGACGCCGCGUGGGGGAUGAAGGCCUUCGGGUUGUAAACUCCUUUCGCUAGGGACGAAGCUUUUGUGACGGUACCUAGAUAAGAAGCACCGGCUAACUACGUGCCAGCAGCCGCGGUAAUACGUAGGGUGCGAGCGUCGUCCGGAAUUACUGGGCGUAAAGGGCUCGUAGGUGGUUUGUCGCGUCGUCUGUGAAAUUCUGGGGCUUAACUCCGGGCGUGCAGGCGAUACGGGCAUAACUUGAGUGCUGUAGGGGUAACUGGAAUUCCUGGUGUAGCGGUGAAAUGCGCAGAUAUCAGGAGGAACACCGAUGGCGAAGGCAGGUUACCGGGCAGUUACUGACGCUGAGGAGCGAAAGCGUGGGGAGCAAACAGGAUUAGAAACCCGUGUAGUCCUACCACGU